rnacentral:lncRNA from 1 species
CCCCAAAAGAAUAUCUUCUGCUCUCCAAGAUCCAAAUUUGUUAAUUUUCCUUAAUUCAGAAAGAAAAAAAAAAUCAUCCAUGAUUUCUCCCUCAUUCCUUUUCUUUCUUGCCCAUGAUUCUCUCCAACAUCUUGUGCUCGCUCUCAAGAACACAUGAUUAAGCACGUAUGACGGUUUGGUUUAGAAAAUCAUGUUUCAUGAUGUAUUUUCCCUAUGUAGCAGCAGAUGAUCAGUGCUUUUGUCAAAGUUAAAAUCUAAAUACGUAAAAUGUAUUGCGCUUGAAACACAAUUCUUUUGCUAGGGAAAUUGUACAGUGAUAUGAAAGUGGAUGCCUUCAUGAAUAAAGUUAUACCUAGCGUGCGUUGCCUCCGUGAAGGAUAUAUACUUGUGAUCUCCGUAAACAAAAAAAAAAAAAAAAAAAGUGGCUUCAUGGAUACUUUGACAAAAACUCUUUCAUAAGAAAAGAAAAAAUCUUCCCAAUUUUUGUACCAAAAAACUGCCCCUCUUCUGGAAUUAUCCACC